ensembl:lncRNA
CCAGCCAGAACUGACUUAAAACAAGGACCAAUGCAUCUUCAAGUUCCCCUUUUCACUAUUCUCAUGGUCCAGAAUGUCUGCUGAAGCUCCAACCAUAACAUAUCUAUGACAUUAGAGAGAUGAACGUCUUCUCAGCUAUAAUUGGAUAUUUUCAGUUCCUACUUGAUAACUUGCUCUGGAGGAAACCAGGUGCCUCGCUGUAAGCAGUUCUAUGGAAGGUUCCACGUGCUGAGUUUCAAAGCCUGUGGUCAACCACCAUACAAGGGAGCUUGGAAGUUGAUUCUCAGGAUUGAAAUGAAAACUGACCUUUUCCAGUCCUGUGGCCACUGCUGAGUUUUCCAAAUUUGCUGGCAUAUUGAGUACAGCACUUUCACAGCAUCAUCUUUUAGGAUUUGAAAUAGCUCAACUGGAAUUUCAUCA